rnacentral:hammerhead_ribozyme from 1 species
AUCCAGCUGACGAGUCCCAUAUAAGACGGAAUGCGUGUCUUGGAU